GCUUUGCUUGUUUAUGUAAAACAUUGUAGUCUGUGAUCACCUGUAUCAAGCCCAAUGCCCUCUCUUAAUUCCACCUAAUUCAUGUUGCAAUUUUUGUUGUCAGUAUUCCAAAGACCUUGAGCUGUGAGACUUCCUCAAUGGGCAUCCCAACUGGUGUUGGCAGCAUCUGUCAUUACUGUUAUGAAUGAUAGAAGGUGACUGAAGAGAACUUCUCUGAGUACAUUUUAUGGAAGUGUCCACAAGUUUAGAGACAGCAGAAUACUUUUUGGAAGGGUUGAGGUCUGCACACCAGUCUUUCUGGGAAAAGGUAGAAGCAACAGAGGCUGGACGGAGGAUUUGCCCAGACAGACCUUGCAUAUUGCAAGAAACCCUCGAAGAGUGGUAAUGAUAUUUUACCCAAAGAUUAAGCUCCCAAGAUAUCAAAGUAGCAGCCAUUCUCUGCACUAACUCUGGGGAAGCUACAGUACCUGCUAAAGGAGAAGAGGCUGAAGAAAUCCCCAUAUAGUCUCAUCCGGUGAUAUGUACAUGUCCAUUUCAGGAUCUAAUUCAGUAAAUUCCUAAGUGGUUACUUGCUCUUCAGCAUCUGAAAGUGAUUUUUGGUGAAUUGCAGGAGAUUGUACACCUUAUCUGAUUGAUAUCAUCACAUCCAUGAUCUACAAAUCUAAAGGAACCAGUUCCAGUGGCACUGGAGGCUGCAUGUCAUCAGUUGGCUUGCAAUUGUUGUGGAUCUUUAUUUAAAAGGUUGGGGCUACCAGUAAAGUAACUUAUACCAUGGUGGUAUUCUCCAUUCAGAUCAAUAGUCCACACACAGAUCUGGUUCAUAAUAAUUAUAGUAAGGAUUCUCAAGAAUCCAUUGAGAGCCCAAAAGUUUCAUUCUCAAGGAAGGCUGGAACUGAGAUUAGCCUGGAUCUGACUCCCCUUCCAAUUGCUGAUCUCAGAUCCAAGAAGGAACCAAUGGGAGAUAAUAAUGGUCCUGGAACCAGGGAGAAAUAUCUAGCUAGGGAACCUAAUGGUGUCUUAGAUGCAUGUAAAAUAGGUGAAAAUUGUUCCUCCACUUUUCUACAUUUUUGCAUAGAAACAGGUUAAGUUAAAGAUACUCUCCUCUUUCUAGAGUCAAUAAUUCUCAGAUCUAAGCAUGGAGGAGGCAUUGGAUUUGAUAGGUGCACUUGAGCUCUAACCACAAUGGAACGGCCAGAACUGGCUCUGGUGUAAUUGCCUCAUUCUUCAUAAGUGGAACCUCAGGUUCCAUGGAGUUUACUAACAGAUCUAGCUCCCCUUGAUCUAGGUUAAUAGCCCUAUGUGGUGCCCAAAAUGAUUUUCUUGUGACUUUCAGGAGUCUCCACGUGGAACUCCUUUUGUUUAGUUCUAGAAUAAUUGGAUCCGGAGAGAUUCAUAUUUGAUGGAAGACUCUGCUAAAAGAGGCCAUCUCCCCUGUAGAGUCUUUCUUCCUGGAUGCCUGAACCGGUGAUUUAUGGUCUUUUUCCUGCAGUUUCUUUGAUGCCAGAUCCAGCAAAAAUUACAGUACUGAUUAUAGGUUUCAUGGUUAGUCACAGUUUUUGAUGUGCUUGGUGCUGAAGCUGGUCUAGAUUCUUUUUCAGAAUCUGUUGCCUUAUUGGAUCUGGCAGGUCUUGCUGAAAGGAUUGCUACAUACCAACAGCUUCUGUUCGUCCUUUCUUAUUCUUGGUGUAAAAGUCUGGCAUAUAGAACAUUUUGAGAACAAAUGUCCAACACUGAGGCAUGGUAGGCACCAAAUUUGUGCCUCUGAAACUGGAAAUACUAGUGAACAUGAGACUCAUAGUUUAAAGCCUGGUCUUUUUGUCUUCAGGUCCACCAUGACUCUUCUAUCAGUGCCAGAAAUAAACUAAGACUAAAAUAUCAAAUAUAAUUUACAACUAUAAAAUCUAUAUUAACUAACAACCAACUAAUAACUAUUGGCACUAUCUAUAGAAGGGAUAUGGAUUCUUCUUUCCAGAGCAGUAAAUGAUCUGUCAUGGUUAGUGUUUGGAAGGACUGGAGGCAGCUGGAGAACUAUGCCUCCCCCUUUAUCACCAUGCCCCUAGAAUGUUCAGGAACAGAUAGGGAAGAGGGGUUAGGGCUGUGAGAGUAUUCUAAUUGGCACUGAUAGCUAAAUCCACGAUCUAAGCUGCUUGCAGCUGCUGCAUCAUAAGAAUAGGAAUACGCAGACACCACUCAAAGAAGAACAUUAUAAGAAUUAUAAUAAUAUUAAUAAACUAUUUUUGCAUCAAUAUUGAGGUUUAUCCCCCUAAGUGUAACUCCAUCCAUAGAUGAGGAGGACAAAUAUGGUCGAUGUUUAACAGUUAAAUCAGGAGAAAAACUGUAUUGAAUUGAAAUUGCUAAGCAAAUUUAGAUAGAAUAUAUUUUACCUGAACUGUGAUUUGAUAAAGAUACUUUGGCUAAUAUUUCAAUAUUUAUGUAAUGUAUCACAAGAUUUUGAAUGGCCACAUGGAAUCAGGACCUCUGUUUUACAUCUUAUCAUGAACUCGGCCUCUCCAUUCAGCACAUUGCUCAUCCCCUCCUGCACCAUCAAAAUGCUACAGCAUUGAUUUAGAGUAGCAGCCGUGUUAGUCUGUAUUCGC